UCUCCCAGCCCCAGAACAGAGCCCCCCUCCAUGCCCUCCAACACCACUGAUGGGACCUCUGUGGCCACUGGCCCUGCGAGUCCGGGAGUCGGUGGAUUCUGGUGUGGUCCCCAUGAGCCCACUUGGCAGUGGUGUCAUCCGGAGAAGGUUCUCAGGGACCCCACUGCUGCCACCGCUGUCAAGCCGCCUUGGAACCCCUGGAGAGGUUGAGCCCAGUGCCUGCGUCGUAUUCACCAUCGAGGCUCGAGGGACAGAGCCAAGCCACCAUCCAGCCCCAGGAAGGUGAGGAGGCAGAUGGGGAACAAGGGGGCCAGUCUCAGGAGACAGAGAGUGCCUCAUCUAGAUGAACCUUUCUCUAACUUGUUCAGAAAACAUUUAUUAAGCACCUACUGUGUGCCAGGACUUGCACUAGGAACAUAGCCAUGGGCAAGCAGGUGCUCAAUGGCUGAUGAUGGAGAGAGACUUAUACCAGGUGGAGAGAUCAGGGUGCCAUGGGAAUCCAGAGGAGGCUUCUGACCCAGCAUUGGGGGUUACAAACAAGGUGAGGAAAGGACUACUUGGAAGAGGUGGCAUCUAAGGUUAGCAUGAAGGAUGAAAAGGAGUCAGUCACAGAAGCACAGAGAAACAUAUGCCAAUUAGAAGGAAGAGAUUGUACAAAGCCUUGGACUCAAGAAGAUCAGGUGUAUGAGGAACUGAACACAGACUGGAGGGGAG
rnacentral:lncRNA from 1 species